GACGUAUUAAAUUAUUUCCAUACUAUCUGAUAAAGAUUUACAUACAUGUAACUACAUGAACUACGAAAGGUAAUUUACUAACAAUUCAAUCAAUAAAACUAGUUAGUCAAUCUAAGUAACAAUUUCUGACAAAUGAAAAUAUUAUAAUGUUUAUCAAAUGGCCAAGUACAACCGUAAUCUUCUUGAUUGUCUUCAAUAUUGAUGACCUUUUAAUGCAGAAGUAAUUUUUAGACUUCUUCUUUGCUGAUGAGAAAGCCAUUCUAAUGGUGAGACAGUGAGAACACUCUAAGUCCUUGCAAAUGUCUCUCUCUUCUCAUUUGUGUUGCAACUGUGUGUUGACUUGGUUGUUGGUAAGACUUCGGCGAGAUUCACAUUGCUGUUUAUUUCUUUUUUCAAAGCAUAUCCAUGAGUUCCAUUUCAAUUUAUUUUUAUUUGAGCUUGCAAUUUUUUAACACCAACAGGAAAAAUCAAAGACAGAUCAGAGCCUUAUUCAAGUAUCCGUAAUACUAUCCAAGUUUUUCUUCAUCAUAAACAUGUUUAUCAACAAAAAUGUGUCCCAGCAAUCAGUCUUGUUUCAUGAACUCC
rnacentral:lncRNA from 1 species